rnacentral:misc_RNA from 1 species
CAACCCUCGAGCCCCUCCGGGCUUGGUGUUGGGGAUCGGCCACCGCCUGUUCGGCUGGCCGGCCCCGAAAUAGAGUGGCGGUCUCGCCGCAGCGUCCUCUGCGUAGUAGCACACAUCUCGCACUGGAACGCGGCGCGGCCACGCCGUAAAGCAAAGGGGCUUGCGCCCCUUUCUCCUCAA